UGGGGCAGACCCUGGGCUAGCACACCUCAGGGAGAACUCCAAUGGUGUCUGUGUCAGCACACCCACACCAGGCCACAACAAUGGCCGCCGCCAACGUCCCAGUCCCUGGAGAGGUCUCACCUCUCACUGUGAUGCACUCAGAGCCUAUCAGCCAGUAUUUGGCUAAGGCCACCUCAGCCCAUGCGUCUUCUGGAGCCUAUGGCCUGCAGAUAUACUGAGCAACCUUGGAUGCCAGUUGUUGAAAAUGGCAGAACUAAAAGCUGAAAGGAGCCAGGGUUCCUGAACACUGCCUGGAGGAAAGCUGCUCACUAAAUAGGAACAUUUAUAUUGGACUUUUGAUGAGUGAGAAGUUGAUGAAUGGUUAGCCAGAGAAGCUAGUGUUACCUUAACUAAAAGUCUUGUUUUAUUUUAAAAUGUUUGAAAAUAUAUAGCUUCAAAUGUAAAAUAUUAUGCUAUCAAGACUAAUAAUCCUCCAAAACAUAGUUGCUCAGGAGAAUAAUUAUAAAGUUUCAAUUAAGAGAUCAGAAGCUAGAAAUCCUAAGACCAUACCGUUAUCAGAAUAUAAUCAUAGGUAUAUAAAUUGAAGGGGGAACAUAAUUUCUGCAAUGUUAUGGCAUUUCCACUUUUUCUUGGCUAAUCUUUCCUACAAACACAAUUCCCCACCAUGAGGGAAUUCAAAUUCUACUACAUCAAAAUUGUUAUAGACAACUCUAAAAUUAUUUUUAUUCACUUCUCAGUUGCUUUUAUAAAGUCCAUUCACUUUCCUACUUUAUUAGAUGAGUCUUUCAUACCUACUCUUCUCUCCAAAACCUCCAACACUUUCUCCUCCAUCCUCAUUCUCAGUAGGUGAUCUUAAUUCUUACUUCACUUGGAAAAUUGAUGCUAUGAAGCCAAAACUUCUACAAACUCCCAUCCAUUUACCAUCAUCUUGUGCCAUAUACUCUUCUUUUUCUCCUGUUUCUAUGGUAGAACUGCCUAUUCUCCUAGCUAAGGCCCAGCACUUUGAUUUUCCACUAGAUUCCAUCCCUCGUGUCUAUUACACGACAUUCUACAAAAAAAUCUUCCCUUUUUCUCCUGCAUAAUCAUUUCCCCCCUAUUCUGAAUCUUUCCCUAAUUAUUUAAACCUGCUAUUAAUUCUUACAUCUUUAAAAAAAGAAUCUUCUCUUGACACAUUUCUAUUUCUAGCAACUGCCUCAUUUAUCUUCUUCCCUUUAAAGUAUAACUUCUUGAGUUUCUUACUCUUGAUGGAGAUUGCUCUCUCUCUCCUCCCAUUCUCUCCUUAAUUGCACCCUCCAAUCAAACUCCACUUCACUGAAAAUGCCAUUGUUAUGAUCACGAAAGACCUCCACAUUAAUAACACAUUAAUCAAUUUUACUUUACCUCUGAGCAGUAUUUAACACAAUUUAUCACUCCCUCUUUGAAAUACUUGCCUCCUUGACUUUUAUCACUCUGGCUAAUCCUUUGAUGGUUCCUUCUCAUCUCUAUGAUCUCUCCUCUUUUCUAAGUACAGUCACUCCCGUGAUUAUACAUGUUCUCAUCUAGCCUGAUAGCUCUAAAUUUGCUGUUGAGUUCCAAAUUUAUAUCACUACCCUCGACUCGUCUCUAAGCCUACUUACCACCUCUAUUUGAAUGUCUAACAGGCAUUUCAAACCUAACAUGUCCAGAACUACAUCGCUCAGGCCAAAAAUAUUGAAGUUAUCCUUAGCCCUUUCUCUUUCUUACCACUUCCCACGUCUAAUUUUCAAAACAGAUCCAGAAGUUGACCACUUUACUCCUCUACUGCUCUCACCCUUGAUCAAGCCACUACCAUCUCUCAUAUGCAUUAUUAAAAUAACCUCCUUUUCUCUGUUUUAGCCUUUUGUCCCCUUUUCAAAAUCUGUUCUCAAUAUAGAAGUCAGAAAGAUCCUUACAUUAAAACAUGAGUCAAAUCAUGGCUCUUCUUGGCGCAAAAAUAUCUACUGAUUUCACAUCUUAUGCAGAACAAAAGCCAAAGUUCUUACAGUGGCCUACAAGUGCUACAUAAUCUGUCCACCCAAACUCCCUAUCCUGUUAAAUAUCAGGCCUUUUCUCCUUCUUCUCUCUUUUGCUAUCUUCCAGCCACACUGGCCUCCUUGUUACAUACCAGAUGCACGAGGCACACCUCCACCUCUGGGCCUUUGUACUUCCUGUUCCUUUUGCCAGUAAUGUUCUCCCCCAGAUAACUACAGGUUUACUUGUUACUCAUUGGAUCUUCAAAUGUCAUUUUAGUGAAGUCCACCCUACAUCAAAUUUCAAUCCCCUUCAUAGUCCCGAAUGUUCUUCCCUGUUUUAUUUCUUCUUAGCAAUUAUCAUUAACUAAUAUACUAUAUGUUUUCUUACUUAUUUUGUUUAUUGUCUAUUUCCUUCACUAAAGUGUAAGCUCUAGAAGAACAGAGGGUUUAUUUUUCUGUUUUGUUCACUGUUAUAUCCCCAGUAUCUAGAACUGUGCUUGACUCUUAGACAUUCAAUAAAUAUUUGCUUAAUAAAUGUUGAAUAAAUAAAGUAUUUUAGGAAGUCAUACUGGCAUAGUCUUUUUUCCUGCAAUGAAACGCCAUCUGUCAAUUUUAUAAAUAGAUAAAUCAAAGCUGCUUCAGA